GACGUAGGGGGCGAGCGUUGUCCGGAUUUAUUGGGCGUAAAGAGCGCGUAGGCGGCCCGUUAAGUCGGAUGUGAAAACCCGUGGCUCAACCACGGGCCUGCAUCCGAUACUGGCGGGCUCGAGGCAGGCAGGGGAGGUCGGAAUUCCUGGUGUAGCGGUGAAAUGCGCAGAUAUCAGGAGGAACACCGGUGGCGAAGGCGGAUCUCUGGGCCUGUCCUGACGCUCAGGCGCGAAAGCUAGGGGAGCAAACAGG
rnacentral:rRNA from 1 species